GUAUCCAGGCAAGGUAUCCAAAGAACCAUGUGCUUAGUCCAGCAUGCCCAAUCGUCAUAUGUGGUGGUCUUGUAGUAAGGUUAAAGCUUACUGGGAAAUGAUAUAUAAUGAAAAGAAAAGGAUGUUUAAAAUAACCUUUGUUAAAAAACAAAAAACAAAAACUUUUCUUUUUGGAAUUAUAGGGACAGAACUACCUAAAAUGUAUAGAAACUUAUUUAUGUAUGUGAUUACAGCAGCAAGAAUGUUACUGGCCCCAAAAUGGAAAGAAGCAGAAGUCCAGCAAAGGAAGAAUGGAUACAAAAGCUUAUGGAAUAUGCAGAAAUGGCGAAACUUACCGGAAGAGUAAAAAAUCAAGGUAACUUUUUAAAAAAAGAAUGGAAAUGGUUUAUUGAAUAUUUACAAACAAACUGUAAACAGAUAAGAACAUUGGCAGGAUUAUUGUAAUAACCCGCAGUUUUAUAAGAGUAUAUAUUUAAAGUAGAGGAAUAAAUGUGUAAUUUAAGUUAAUUUGGAAUAUGCAAAUAUAAAAAAUAAUUUUAAGGAACUGCAGAAAGAGGGGGGAAGGAAGUGGAGUUUUGAAAUGUUAAAAUCCUUGUAAAAUUAUUGAAAUGUAUAAAAUUGAAAAUCAUAAAAAAUAAAUAAAUAAAUCCAGCAUGCCCAGUGGGACACUGAAUUUGUGUAUCUCAGAGAGGAGCUAGUCCUAAUCCUGCAAUACUGUAAUACUGAGACAUUUGAUAAUGAGAGAGAUUUCAAAUGCAGUUUGUGGAACAGUAUGGUGGUCUGCCAAAUGAAGGGCAAAAGUCAACAAUCCUACUUGGAAUGGCCAUGGCUCUUUGUGGGCAGGGCUGGAUUUAGGUUUGACGAGGCCCUAAGCUACUGAAGCUAUUGGGGCCCUUUAUACGUCCAGCUGUCCUUUAUCAACAACAAAUUGUCGCUGUUUUUUGUGUUGAAUAUAUGAUAUAUGGUAAUUUAUGGACCUAAUAGGUAUGUAGGUUUGUUUUAUAUAUAUAAAGGUAAAGGUAAAGGGACCCCUGACCAUUAGGUCCAGUUGUGACCGACUCUGGGUUGCGCCGUUCAUCUCGCUUUAUUGGCUGAUGGAGCCGGCGUACAGCUUCCGGGUCAUGUGGGCAGCAUGACUAAGCCGCUUCUGGCGAACCAGAGCAGCGCACGGAAACGCCGUUUACCUUUCCGCCGGAGUGGUACCUAUUUAUCUACUUGCAGUCUGACGUGCUUUCGAACUGCUAGGUUGGCAGGAGCAGGGACCGAACAAUGGGAGCUCACCCUGUCAUGGGGAUUCAAACCACCAACCUUCUGAUCAGCAAGUCCUAGACUCUGUGGUUUAACCCACAGUGCCACCCGCGUCCCAUAUAUGUGUGUGUGUGUGUGUAUGAAAUGUACAUCACUUGUUUUUUUCCUUUACAUUUUUGGGGUCCCCCAAGAGAGUAAGGCCCUAAGCUAUAGUUUGUUUAGCUUAUAUAUAAAUCCAGCAUUGUUUGUGGGUACUCUGACUGUAGCUCCACGUAUCCCAGACUUUGUUGAUUCAUGACGCAAUCAAAUAGGACACAACCUGCAAAUGUAGCUCAGCCUCCCUCUGCGAAUUGUGAGUUGUUGCCCCAGUGUAGCCCUUUUCGUCACAAGAAUUUCUUGCAGGUGCACUCUCUUGACUUUUUAAUUGAUCUAAUUCUCCCAUAAGAAUUGAAGAGCCAAUGCAGUGUAGCGGUUGCAGCGGUUCUCAACCUGUGGGUCCCCAGAUGUUGUUGGACUACAACUCCCAUCAUCCCUGAGCUCUGGCCUUGCUAGCUAGCAGUGAUGGGAGUUGUAGUUCAACAACAUCUGGGGACCCACAGGUUGAGAAAGGCUGGGUUAGAGUGUUGGGCUAGGACUUGGGAGACCAGGGUUCAAGUCCCCCCACCAUGCUCACAGGGUGAAGUCAGACCAGUCACUGACUCCCAGCUUAACCUACCUACCUUACAGCAUAAAAUGGGGUUGUGGGGGAAAGAACCAUGUAUGCCAUUUUGAGCUCGUUGGAAGAAUGGUAGGGUGCUGAGCUGGCCCAUUGAUGAGGUGUGGUGAAGCACCUGCCUCAGGCAAUGGAAGCACAAGAGGUUCCACCUGCCCCAUCGUUGCUGCUGCUGAAGAAUUGAUCAAGAUUGGCUGAUGAAGCAUUGAAUGAAAGAGAUUGGUUAUCCAGAAACUCUGUUGCGUGGACAGGCGGAGUCCCCCAAACCCUGGGCGGCCCCCGUGUGGAAUAACGACUCAAGACAACGUGUUAUGGGAUUAAAAUUGGCCACAACUUUAUUAUGUUUCAGAUGUGGGUAGACCUUGACUCAGGCAUUGGGCGUUUAUCCCUCCCAGUCCCCCGCCGGGGAUCUGGGGAACAUCAGGGUUAUCCAGAGUGUGGGGAGGGAUGGGCUGUCUCUGGAGAACAUAUGUUCAAGCAGAUAGAGCCCGCCGCCGUUACGCCGCCAUCGCAGGGGAGAGCAAUGACAACCUCUAGGUGUGCUGCCAAAGCCUCCCCUCAAAACAACCCCUUUAAUGAGGAACCUAUCACCGCCGCAAAGAGAAGGGGGGCGUGGGUCACCUCUACAUGCCAAACCCCACUUAGAGAAGAUAGACUAAAGGAUUCUGCACAAGGUCUGAUACCGCCAAAGUUGUGACGUUUUGCUACAGGAAAGGUAAACCUGUCAAUGCAGGGGAAUUCCUUUCCAGCCCUUCAACAGCGACCCUGACAUAGCAGCACCUGCGUACCUGUAGAGAAAAGGUUAACCUGCAAAGGAAGUCUUAACUGAGGGUGGGUAGGGUGGGAGAAGCUCUGGAGCCAACUGACCAUUCCCAGGUGAGACCCUCCCCCUAUUGUGUGGGCAGGGUGGUCCCUCCCCCUACCUGGCCUGAUCACCUUGGCAACGCCUCCCCAGGUGGGAUUGGGCAACUGGCUGAGGUAGGCGGAGACCUCCAGGUAUCCCACCUGAGGAAGGCGAAGCCAAGCCUGUGCUAAUGGUGCCACAUAGGGUCCAGGGGGCUGCGCGCGACCACGCAAAGGGUGCCCCCUUUAAUGUGGGGAGCGGUUAUUCCGGCGAUAUUUGGUGACAGAUUAUGUAUAUAUCAAACUUUUGAAUUAUUCUACCGCAGCCAGUGAAGAAGAUUUAGAGACUUUGCUUGCAAUUUCUGAUCAUUUGUAUUAGUCUAUAAAUAGUGUUUAGUGCCAUUGUUAUUGGCCAUCGUGUUGUGUUAUUUUGUUCAGCUGCUGCAAUGCCAGCAAGAAGGGGGCAUUCUGGUGCAUGGGGGGCGGGGAAUGCCUUGCAGAGUAGGGGAGGGAUUUUGGAGGUAGCAGAAGAAGCGGGGAACGUCCCUGUUUUGUCUCCAGUGGCAAAAUGAGAUGGGCUGCCCCUGGUGGGGUACAAAUCUAAUAAUAAACAUAAAUAAAUAAGUUGGCUGUUAGAUCAGAUAAAAGACCCAUCUUCUCCAGCAUUCUGUUUCUACCAGAUGCCAGCCAGAUCCUCUGGGAAGCUUACAAUCAAUGCAUGAAGGCUUGAUUCCAGCAGCUGGUAUUUGAUGCCUAUAAACAUAGACACUCCCUUUAGCUACAGUAUUGUGGCUUAUUAUAAUCACUGAUAGAGCUAUGCUCCAUAGAUGUUUCUAAAUAAUAAUAAUAAUAAUAAUAAUAAUAAUAAUAAUAAUUGUUAUUAAAUUUAUUGCUAUUUAGUAGUGACACAAGACUUCAUAUUUUUUUCAGUUUACAUCCCACUCUUCCUAUGAAAGGAGCCCAGGGCACUCCAUUGCAAUUUGAUUUUCUUUCAAAUAGUCAUCUGUUUUAUACACCUCCAUUACCACAUCUUGUUUUGGCCCUAAUCUUUGUAAAAGCUGUUGAUGCUAGCAGUUAUCUCCAGCACAUUUUGUGGCUUGGUACCAACCAGCGUACUUGCUAUGAAAUUCCAUUCAUCCCUGAAAUAGCUGCUUUAAAAUUCUCUUCCUUUUACAUUAGAGCUCCUUGCCCUGUUACUCUGUUUUGUAACUGCUCUGUGUUGUCGCUUUUACAUUUCCAUGAUCAUUUUUCUCUUUCCAUAGCCUUUCCCUAUGUGCUCUAUUGAGAAAAACAGAGUCUUUUUAAGCUAUGCAAUCUUUCAGUCUUCAACAUGAUCUUGAAAUGAGGACACAAGUAGCGUAUGUCUGUUGGUUCUCCUUCAAAGGUAAGAACAAUAAUUGAAAAGCUUACUCUGAAUCUAAACAAGGUUUGCCAUUCCUUUACUUAUUUGAUUGUUAUGCAUCUAUGUACUCUAUAAUAAAGGCAAAUACUGAAAAUACUGAAAUACAGUAUCGGGUUACAGACGCUUCAGGUUACAUACGCUUCAGGUUACAGACUCCGCUAACCCAGAAAUAGUAUCUCGGGUUAAGAACUUUGCUUCAGGAUGAGAACAGAAAUCGUGCAGUGGUGGCGCGGCGGCAGCGGGAGGCCCCAUUGGCUAAAGUGGUGCUUCAGGUUAAGAACGGACCUCCGGAACGAAUUAAGUACUUAACCCGAGGUACCACUAUAAAGGCAGGGAAGACGUGAAAUAUGUGAAAUAGUAAUUAUAAAAAAAUAGAUACCAGCACUAUGCAAGUUCUCCAAUAUGUGCUUUAGGGCCCAGAAAUGUUACCAAAAUGAUUUGGGCUCAUAUUGAGUACUCCCCUCCUUUUUUUAAAAAAGCAAAGGCACUGUAUGUGAUUGAGCUGAUAGAUCAUGGGUCAGCAAAUUUUUUCAGCAGCGGGUCAGUCCACUGUCCCUCAGACCUUGUGGGGGACUGGACUAUAUUUUUUUGUGGGGGGGGGGGGAAAUGAAUGAAUUCCUAUACCCCACAAAUAACCCAGAAAUGCAUUUUAAAUAAAAGGACACAUUCUACUCAUGUAAAAACACACUUAUUCCUGGACUGUCCGUGGGCCGGACUGAGAAGGUAAGUGGGCCGGAUCCAGCCCACAGGCCUUAGUUUGCCUACCCAUGUGAUAGAUCAUGUCAUACGAAAUUGUGUCCUUCUUUCAUCAGAAUUGGACCCUAAGCUCAUCACACAGCACAUCUCUGGCUUAGUGAAAGGCUGGGAAACUACAGAAGAGCCAUGAAAUGGACUUGGGUCCUCUCAUAUACAAAGGCAUGUGCUCUGUUAUUAAGCUACAGUAAUUAUUAUUAAUAUUAUUUAUUUAUUUAUUUAUUUAUUUAUUUAUUUAUUUAUACCCCGCCCAUCUGGCUGGGCUUUCCCAGUCACUCUGAGCAGCUUCCAACAAAAUAUUAGAAUACAGUAAUGCAUCAAACAUUAAAAGCUUCCCUAAAGAGGGCUGCCUUCAGAUGUCUUCUAAAAGUCUGGUAGUUGUUGUUCUCUUUGACAUCUGGUGGGAGGGCGUUCCACAGGGAGGGCGCCACUACUGAGAAGGCCCUCUGCCUGGUUCCCUGUAACUUGGCUUAUCGCAGUGAGGGAACCGCCCGAAGGCCUUCGGCGCUGGACCUCAGUGUCCGGGUAGAACGAUGGGGGUGGAGACACUCCUUCGGAUAUACUGGACUGAGGCCGUUUAGGGCUUUAAAGGUCAGCACCAACACUUUGAAUUGUGCUCAUAAACGAGCUAAGGCUCUUUCCUGACGCAGAGGGCAUAAGGCAAUUUUUCCCAACCUGGUGGUCUCCAGAUGCUUUCUACUUACAAUGCCCAGAAACCCCAGACACCAUGUCCCCUUGUCAGGGGUUAAUGAGAGUUGUGGCCCCAAACAGCUGAAGGGCACUAGGCUGCAAAAUGCUGACACUCCAUUUAAAGAACUCUUUAACAACUUGCCAUAAAAUGAGAUUCUUUAAUACAGAGCCAGUCCAAUGUCUCCUAUAACUCCCAUAAUGUGGGCAGCAAUUCUUCUGGUUCUGCUAAGGAACUAUUCCUUGGUAUUAUCUAUUGGAAUUACAGCAUUGUGACAUCAAAGACUGGCUCCACAGUGAUAUGUCUUAACUGGGUGGCAGACGCAUAGUCCUCUGAGAGGAAUCCCUUAAGUUUUACCAAUAAUUGCUAUUAUUUCAUAUAUUCCUUCCAUUAUCUCACUACCUCCAUUGCCACUAAUGCAAACCAGGAACACAAAUGUUAGUUUGAAAAGAAUUUCCCAGGGCAAAACUACUAUGUGUCCCUCUGCAAAUAAAGAAUAAUCCCCUUUCAUCCAGGAAAUGGACUAUCCAAAGAAGCUGUGUGUUUGUUGUGUGGAACUGCAAAAUAACAUACCUUUAAUUGUGUUUGGACCAUACGUCUUAGCAAUUAUAGCCAGCUGUUCCCUCAAUUUACUCACCAAAUAAUAAGUCCCCCAAGAUUUUACCAGAAACUGUUUGCAUAACUUGGAAAACAGAGCUCAGCUGUUGCAUAAAUGGCAGGUCACACUCCCCCCCCCAACUGUAUAAUUAAAUUAUUCUUCAUGCCUUCACAGGGAUGCAGUUAUUGAUUAUUUAGAGCUCAAUCUUCCUUCUCCCUGUGAAACUGAGGACCAGUUUAUACAUUCAACAGAAUGAAGUGAUGAAAUUUCUCCUGGAUCACAUACCACAAUAGACUGAAAGCAAGGGAUCACAUGCCUCAAUGCUCUUCCCAAACACUACCUUGCUCAUAUGGAACUGGAAUGUCAGGGAGAAAGGUCAGCCUAGUCUUCUCCCUCACAUGCUAGGUGCAGGUAGCCCUUUAGUUGGGGGAGCAUUCAGAUUCUGAAGAGGUACAGGUCAGGCAGUGCCAGCCACUGAGGUGAUUCACUAAGGAAAAUAUAAGCCAACACUGCAUAGAAGCAGAGAAAGGCUGCAGUGUUUUGGGUGGAAAUGCAGGUGUUUAGCUGCAUACCUCCAUAUGGACAUCCCACCAUAACCACCAACAUUUCUCCGAUGAAAAUAGAGAUGUCCCCUCCAGCAUUUCUCCAAUGAAAAUAGGGACAUCCUACCUGUACGCCAGCUCCCUCGGCCAGUAAAGCGAGAUGAGCACUGCAACCCCAGAGUCUGCCGCGACUGGACCUAACGGUCAGGGGUCCCUUUACCCUUUACCUUUUACCAUACCCUCCAACAUUUCUCCGAUGAAAAUAGGGAUGUCCUACCAUACUCUCCAAUGUUUCUCUGAUGAAAAUAGGGACAUCCUACCAUACCCUCUGUAAUGGCUUGGGUCUCUCCCACAGACGCGAGACAACUCUGGCGGUAAUUAUCUGAGAUUUAUUGCUCAAACACGCAAAUCAUUUUGGAGCUCACUCACUCAGCGUCUUCCCCCAAGUUUGCUGUUGCCAAGUCUGAGCUCCACCUCUUCCUCCUCCAGCAAUAAAGCCCCCACUUUCGCUUUCUUUCACUUUCCUGCCUCUCACAAACUCUUUCAAGCCUAUGCGGUUUUGGAGAGGCUAUUUCCAGUGUCCCUGAGUCUGAGCCUGAGCUUGAACUGACAGUUUGUGUUUUGCCCCUUGGACUCCCCCCUUCCUGCUCUUUGUUCUCAGAGAUCAGGUUUCUACUGCAGCUUGGCUGCUCCUCCCCCAUUCCGCAUUCCAGCCUAAUCUCUUCUCCUUGCCUCUCAGCGUUUCUCAGCCUCUGUCAGCUGCGUCUUGUCUCUGACACCCUCCAAAAUUUCUCUGCAUAAAAUAGGGAAAUCCUACCAUACCCUCCAUCAUAUCUCUGAUGAAAAUAGGGGCAUCCUAAGGAAAAGUGAGACAUUCCAGGAUCACAUCAGAAACCAGGUGUUAGGAAUGAGCCAGCUCCCAGUGAAGGUUUGCAGCCAACUGCAGGAAGCAGCCAGGAACAGAGAGGCUUAGACGUUAGGCAGGGGGGAGCUGGCAGCUGCAGACUUCGGCUCUUUCUGACCUUGAUGGGCAGGAUGAUAAGGCAGUAGCUGAGAGCAGGCUAGAACACAGCCAAAGCUCACAGGAUGCUCAAACAGGAGCGAAAAAACACACAGAAGUAUGUCAGAAUAGGAAGGGGCUGGAGCUAAUCCAAUAAGUCUGAAGAGUAGGAGAAUGGGAAGGCUGCUAGAUAGGAAGCAAAACAAGAGACGCAAGGGGUGACAGUUCAAUAUAUUCUGUAGAAGAAUAUCUUGAAGAAGUCUUCAGAAGGGUCAUCCUGAGUAAUGAUGCCAGAGGCUUUGUUAGAGCCAUCCAGAGCUAUCUGUUCGUUUUUCCAAUAAAUCCUCCUUUUUAAUUACCUACGCUUACUGUGUUAUCAAGCUGGGAACCUGGACUCCUGACAGACGGCUUCUGUAAAUUUGGGACUGUCCCUGGAAAACAGCGAUACUUGGAGGGUCUGCGCUGAAUGGGUAUUGUCUUGGUGACAUCAACAAGCUGCACUGCAAAAAGCCCUCAUCCUGCAAUUCUGCACUUGCAUGGCGUUGGGAGCAGUGGCGGAGGAACCCUCUCCGGCACCCGGGGCAGGACGCCAAGGGGCAGGGCGAAAAACCUAGCGGCGCACACGCAACAUCCGUAUGGACUGUGCACGUGUGGUGGCCCAUACAGUCUCCGUGCGAGGGGCAGCCUGUACGGAUGCCCAUAUGGAUGGCGCGUGCAAGUGGCAGCCUGUACAGACUGCGCACGCACGGCAGACCAUAUGAACUGCGCAUGCAUGGCAGCCCGUACAGUCACUGUACAAGAAGCAGCCCGUACGGACACCCAUACGGACGGCACAUGAGAGCAGCAGCGCGUACAGACGCCACGCGAGCGUCACCCAUACUAACUGUGCACGUGGCCUUGGCCGCUCUACAGCUGGGGGGCAGCAGGCCAUCUUGUCACUCCGUCAAGUGGUGCCUGGGGCAGACCGCCCCCUCUGCCCCCCCUUCGUAUGCCCCUGAUUGGGACUUGCACCCCAACCACUACUGUAGCCUCUCAAUGUAGCAAGGAAACAGCAAGCUGAUCUUCCCUCUUCCCUGCAUCCCCAGCCUCUGGGCACUCCAUCCUAUUCCGUAGUGGACAGUGUGUUCACUUCACAAACUGCUCUGUCUGCAGAGUGCUUUCUUUAUUACUUGAUUCUGCUGAUAGUAUAAACUGACCCUGAGUAAAUUUAUUGCAGGCAAAUGUCUGGUUCUUUGGUUUCAGGGAGACUUCUAAUAAAAUAACAUCUUAUACUGAAUUGCACAAAGGCUGGCAAAGCCCUCUGGUUUCUCUCUUUAGAUAUUUUCAUGCCUAAUAAUAAUUUCAUUGGUUUGCUUCAUAUGGUUAGGGCUCAGAUAAUGCAGAGAAAAUAAUUCACAAGAGACCGAAAUAAUGGAUUAGCAAGGGAUGUGAGCCACCACUGAUAAAGACAAGAAAUAUUGGCAAAGAAAUACAAAAUCCAUCAUACUAAUUCAGUUGAAUUAAAUGUAUCUACACUCUUCAGCCCUCGCCAAAAUAAAGGAAUGCAGUUUUUUAACAGUGGGGAAAAAACCCUGCUGCUCUUUGUUCGCAUUAAAACUGAGAAUUUUUAAGACUAUUAAAGCCGUACACUAAUUAAUGGUGAAGAGCAUGAUGUAGCCAAAUUGAAGCCCUUUUAAAUCCCACAGAGAUUCAACAGGAGAGUUAAACGGCAAUAGGACAAAAUCAAUAGGAUGGAAAUGUUUUACUGUUAAGUACCCUCCCCCGACACUUGUUUCUGUUGAGUCUACAACAGGAAUAACUCAAUGGACUGGCAUCCAUGACAAUCUCUUCCAGGAGAGAUGGCUAUAAACAUGUAGUGGUUAGGUGGGAUGAUUUUUACAUAUUGGGGCCAACCAAAAGUAAGACGACACAAUAGGUAAUGGUAAACAUGUUGCAUUUCUCUGCACAACACAAAUGAAUGCAAGAUCCAGUGUUUUAGUACAGCUACAGUGGAGGAGAGAGAGAUUUUGCACUCAGGCCCUACUUGCAAAGGCACCUUGUCGGCCACUGCAAGAAAAGGAUGCUGGAUUAAUUGGGCCAUUCACUGGCUUGAUCCAGCAGGACUAUAUACUCCAAUAUCUGGGUAAUCCAAAUCAGCAAGAUUCUUUUUUUUUGUCCCAAGCUCCCACCAGAGCCAGAAGACUCACACCAGAGUGCCGAACCAAAAAACGGGACAUUCUGGGAUCCAAUCAGAAGCUGAGAUGGCUUCUGUAAUUUCAGUAUGUCCCACUUAAAUCAGGAUGGUUGAGCAGUAUGCAAGACUCUUACGUGAUAUUAUCUUUUUUAUUAUACUAAUUUAACACUUGGAGUAGGACUACUGCUGGACUGUGUAUGUUUUCUCACUGGCUUUGCUACACAAGCCAAUACUGCUACUUCUCUGGAACUAAGCUAUUAAUGAAUAGUGCAGUGUUAUUCUCCCUUAACACACAACCCUUUACUGUUUGUUGCACUUAUUUGUGUUUUUUACCAAAAGCAAGAAGAGAGGGACAAACUGUUUCUUGAAAAAUAUGCUUUUGAAUUAGGAGUUCCCUAUCUCAUGAAGCUAUCGUGCCCACUCAGUUCAUUGAUUUAUCUACCUCAGUAUUUUCUAUAUUGAAUAAGGUAAAAGGUAAAGGACCCCUGGACGGUUAAGUCCACUCAAAGGUGACUAUGGGGUUGUGGUGCUCAUCUCGCUUUCAGACCGAGGGAGCCGGUGUUUGUCCACAGACAGCUUUCCGAGUCACGUGGCCAGCAUAACUAAACCACUUCUGGCGCAACAGAACACCGUGACAGAAACCAGAGCACAUGGAUAUGCCAUUUACCUUCCCGCUGCAGUGGUACCUAUUUAUCUACUUGCACUGGCAUGCUUUCAAACUGCUAGGUUGGCAAGAGCUGGGACAGAGCAACAGGAGCUCACGCUGUCACAGGGAUUCGAACCACUGACCUUCUGGUCGGCAAGCCACAGCACCACUCGCUGUUCCAUUGGGUUUCAAACAGAAACCUCUCCCUGCCAGGUGUUACUUAUCAGGGAUUUGCAAAAAGUACAGCAUCUGUGUCAACAGUUCUACUCUGUAGUGCAGCAAGGCAAGGCCCAACCAAGGGGUAAGACAAGGCAAAGCAAAAAAAGAUUCAGGCUGUGCUCUUGGGAACAAAAAGAGCUCUGAAGCUGCUCUAACAAGGAACAAGCUGGACUGAACCCUAAUACAGUAGCAACUAAUUAAUGAUGACAACAACAACAUUUUUGUUUUAGGUUUGUCUUUCUUAAAAAGAACUAAGAAAAAACAUACUGCAACUCUGUGCAUGUUUACUCAAAGGACGCCAUGAGGACUUCAAUGGAACUUCCUUCUAAGCAGUGCUUUUUUUAAAAGAAAAGAAAAAGAUGUUUAGGGGUACUCUCAUUUUCCUACUCCCUCAAUAAGGCCACACUUAGAUUCACAAAAUGUUUAGGGGUAUGCGUACCUCUGCGUCCCCCCAGAAAAAAUCACUGCUUCUAAGUAAAGUGUGCAUCGAAUGGCAGCCCAAAUCAAAAUCAAGUUAUCUGAUUUUGGAACAGUAGUCCCAGUCAGGGAACAAUUAUGUGCUAGUUUCUGACGAUGUUUCCAUUACUGUCUGCUAAAUAUUGUCAGGGGACCACCGUGAUGAAAAAUAGGCCUGAUUUAAUACACUGCAUAUACUAAAAUGAAUAAUUGAGUAUACAUAUUAGGUACUUAACAGCUUGGUACUUAGCUUGAUUAAGGACACAUCUGUACCGGGAGCUACCCGUGUUUUCUUGCAGUGCUUUUGUGCUGAACAAUGGCUGAGAUCCAAAGCACCACUUUAAGGCAUUGCGGGGGCUCACCAGUGCCUGGUGGGAUUUGAGCGGCCUUCUCUCUCUGGGAGCAACACACCAUGCCAUAAAAUACUUUGGUGAAAAAAAACUACAUUCCAACAGCGGUUUUCAAGGUAGUGUGAUGAUUUGCUGGGGGGAGAGGUUAAGGGGGGUUAAGCAGACCCCUUAAGUGUCCGGUUUUAAUCGGAACAGCAGGAAUUGACAGAAGCCACCCCAAUCCCAAAUGCCGGGUCUAUGGGUGGGGCGUGUUGUCGCAGUAAGCAUCAUUACACAAUAGAUGAAACAUGCAUGAACAGUUUUUCAAAAUUUCCUUCUCUUUAUGCUCCCAUCGCCCCCUUAUUUUUAUUCAAUGGCCCCCAUUGCACCUGAGGCCCCACCCCCAGAUUGUUCCACCACCCCCAAGGGGGCGGUAUUUCCCACUUUGGAAAAGAUUGUUUUUACAGUAUUCUUUUCGAGAUGCAGAGAUUCGAACUGUAUGCAGUAUUCCAAGUGUAAAGUAAAAGAUAAAGGACCCCUGGACGGUUAAGUCCAGUCAAAGGUGACAAUGGGGUUGCGGCACUCAUCUCACUUUCAGGCUGAGGGAGCUGGCGUUUGUCCACAUACAGCUUUCCGGGUUAUGUGGCCAGCAUGACGAAAUCGCUUCUGGCACAACGGAACACCGUGAUGGAAACCAGAGCACGCGGAAACGCCGUUUACCUUCCCACCACAGUGGUACCUAUUUAUCUACAUGCACUGGCAUGCUUUCGAACUUCUAGGUUGGACACACCCACCACGGCUGGCAGGCCAUUGGUAUAGCUCCUCCGCACUGGGAGUUGGAUACUGAUUUGGGAGAUUCAGGGCAGACAAAUAAGAAGUUCUUCACUCAGCAGAUAGUUAAACAAUGGAACUCACUGCCCCAGUAUGUAGUGAUGGACACCUACAUGGGUGGCUUAUCACAGAGGAUAAGGCUAUCAGUGGUUAGCAGUCAUGAGGACUAGUAUGUAUUGCCUCCAUUAUCAAAGACUGCAUGUCCCUGAAUAUACCAGCUUCAGGAGAUCAUGCGUGAGUGAGAGAGAACUAUUGUGCUUCUGUCUUGCUUAUGGACCUCUUGUUGGUCUGAUCUGGAAGGGCUCUUAUGUUCUGUAUUAGGAAUUCAGACUAUGAACUCGUGUGUCUCCUGGCAGCACGGGAUUCAAAGGUUGCAGCGUCUAUGGAAUCAGGAUUGGAUUGAAAAUGUAAUAAAUACAUAGUAAUACCUCAGACAGGAAGAUUUGCAAUGUCUACAGUAUGUCAGAUCUAAUAAUAUAAAAACUUCUCCAAACUGCAAAUGUGCAGCUGCAGCAGAACUUUUCCCCCAAAUAGUUCUGCUUCCGCAUUUCAAGAUGUAAAUGGAACAAUCACCCCUAUAAAUGUAUGCUAUUAAUUUGUAGCACAUAAAUUUCUGGCAUACCUGUGGAUAGGCGAGUUUCUUUGAUCAGCAGACAGCGCAAUCUGGAGUCCUUGUAUCAUUUUAAAUUGAACACCAGCUAAAUGCUGGCUGUUAAAUGUAACAUAGGAACAAACUAUAAUUCUAAACUAAUCCUAGUUGUAGGCUGGCCCUGAAGUUAGUAUUUGGCUGAAGAGUUUCUUCUGCCUUUAAUGAGUUCAAAAGAAGUACCUUCAGAGCUUGUACUUGACUGUAAAGUAAAAAAGCAUUAUAAUAUUAUGUCUGAAGCAUGGAGCCCCAUUACAGCGAGGGGCUUUUGUGAAGCUUCAUGUCAGGUUUAUAACAUUUAAAUCAUCCCAAAUUCCAGGCCCCUGUUGGGAUUUACAAAACAUAUAUUUUGGUAUUCCACAAAACACAGACACACUUGUCAGAUAUACCUCUAGAGGAAGGAAAAGCCAGGUGGUGAAAGAGAAUACAGGCAUGCCCUAUUCCAUAGGGGAACACGGAAGUCCUCCAAUAGACAUGGCAAUCUAAUGUGAAAGGAAAUUAAUUCACAGCUCCAAAAAGGAGGAUGCUCUGAGAGGGAAAAGCCAUUCCCCACUCAUUUUGCAACUAGAUUCCACGUGUGCAUGCACUGGGUAGCAGUAAAGAUCUGUCCCAAGGCAUAAUGCAGAUCACUGGAUACAACUGAUAUUGUGCUAUUGCUGUGUGCAGUUGACUUACAGGGAGAACUUGAAUAUGCAGUUGUUGUUGUUGUUUAGUUGUUUAGUCGUGUCCGACUCUUCAUGACCCCAUGGACCAGAGCAUGCCAGGCAUUCCUGUCUUCCACUGCCUCCCACAGCUUGGUCAAACUCAUGUUCGUAGCUUCAAGAACACUGUCCAACCAUCUCGUCCUCUGUCAUCCCCUUCUCCUGGUGCCCUCAAUCUUUCCCAGCAUCAGGGUCUUUUCCAGGGAGUCUUCUCUUCUCAUGAGGUGGCCAAAGUAUUGGAGCCUCAUCUUCAGGAUCUGUCCUUCCAGUGAGCACUCAGGGCUGAUUUCCUUCAGAAUGGAUAGGUUUGAUCUUCUUGCAGUCCAUGGGACUCUCAAGAGUCUCCUCCAGCACCAUAAUUCAAAAGCAUCAAUUGUUCAGCGAUCAGCCUUCUUUAUGGUCCAGCUCUCACUUCCAUACAUCACUACUGGGAAAACCAUAGCUUUAGCUAUACGGACCUUUGUCCAUAAAAAAAAGUCUGUGGAGAUACAGAGCUGGAAGGAGCUGUUCCGAUGCAAAGCUCCACCAAGACUAGCUUCAUUUGCAGGGCUAUUUGAAAUCUCUUUGCUCCUUACACAGAGCCCACCCACCUGUCAAAUUUGGCCUAUGAGAAGUAAAGAGAAAAGUUCCCUAACCCUGCUCUUAAUAUUGCAGAGGAACAAUGUGCCUCUCCUGUUGAUGUCACUGAGCUUCAUUUACAUCUUCCUAAUCACUAACCAUGAUGUGAUUUAAGGCCACAUAGAACAGUCUUUUUAACCAAAAUGCUGCUGCUUCUUGGCCUUCGCCAACUCAUCUUCAGUUCCCUCUGGCAGCUUUUAGAGUUGUAGGCCACUUUGAUACAAAGUGAUAUUCUGUAAGGCACACCUUUCACUCAAAUUCAAACACUAUCUCACUUCAAAUUUAACAAGGUGAUUUAAAAUUCAGGAUUGGAUCCUAGUACUAGAAGACUCACCGCAGUAAAAGAAAAUGAUUGCCUUGAGUUCAAUAAUAUCUAUUGGUCAUUAGGACUGGAUACAACCCUCAGUUCCAUUUCUAUGGUUUGGUAUAUUUCGGGGGGGGGGGAUCUCUGUGUGUUUUAUGCUUCUGCUGUCAAUAGCUGUUUCCAGACUUUUCUCCUUUAUUAUUUUAUCAGACAAAAACAACUGUCUACUGGAACUGAAUACUGUGUUUCUUGAGCCCACAGCUUUACAGAUUUCUCAUAUUUUUAAACUUUUCUAGUCUAGAUUAUUUUCACACAACAAUAAUUAUUACCUUGACUGUAGUCCUUGGCACAAUUAUAUUGCUGAAACCCCUCAGCAGUCUAAACGCUUUGAAUAUUUUAGUCCAGGGAAUAUUGGUAAUCAUCAAAUGUUAUCUCAAUAAAAGUGUUGAUCUCUUAAAACUGAAUCUUCAGACCACAUAUUCCAAAUGGUCUCUUUGGCUUCAAUAUAAUUAAAUCAGAGACAAUUAUUUGAAUGAUGUUCAGAUGCUACUGAAGCAACAUAGACAGUAGGAAUCCAGGAAGGCUACCAUCUAACACAGGGUUGAGACCCCUAAUUCCCCAAUAAGAUUUUGUAAACUUCUCAAACUAUACCACCCAUCCCUAAGAAAUGGGCUCCAAGUAUGUAUUUGUCCCCUUUUCCUCUGCUUGUGAUUCGAGGACCCGAUCCCUGCUUGGGGAAUAAAGACACGAGGACACAGUAUGUAAGGUUAAUGGGUAAGGAAAAGGCCACAACUUUAUUGAUUACAGCAUGUGAGAAGGUAUUGGCUUAGGCAUUGGACCACGGAACUUUAGACUCCACCCACUCGUAGAGGGGUGAGUCUGAGGAGGGGUUAACCACCAGCAGGGGGAGCCUGUUGAUGCUAAUACAACUAUAGGCUCUCUUCCUGAUGUCACCGAGGGUUGUGCCAUGGCCCCCCGCCACUCGGGCAUCGGACAGGAUCCACGACCGCCGGAUUCCUUUAGCGGAAUACCCAAAAUUGUCGGGGUAGGCGAUGGCCACACCUAGCCCCCCGAAACACCAACAACACAUUUCAAUGCCUAACCGCCAAAUACCACGAAAGUUGUGACGGUUGCUACGAGGUAGGCAAAAAAAAACUAAGAGGCCAGGCCAAUUUAGCCAAUUGGAAACAACUCCUACCAGGCCCCUUGGUUAAACAGGGCGACCAACCAGAGGUCCAUAGCAAAGUCUCAGGAAGCUAACUCUAAAAGGGAGUGGAGGGUGGGUGACUCGAAGAAAAUGUGUGUGCAAUGGUGGGGAUGGCUGGUGCGGCCACAUUUGAGUGGCAAGCCACGCUCCCGUCAAGCAUCCCUACUGGAUGCCCAACCAGGGAGGGGCGUGGUGUGCCAGCCCUGGAGUUGAAGCAGGGGGCGAACGCCCCCUGCAUGACAUGGUAAUCGUCUCCUGCUCACAACCCCUCCCCUCCUGGGGGAGGAGAGGCUUUUUCAAAUCACAUUUGCAGAUUACUGUACACAAGAGAGAGGGGGCAGAACAGUGCUUGCAAGCUCCCCAAACUCCUAUCCAUGAAGUUGUUAUCUGCCCAUGCACAAUGGCUGUCUCAAACAUACACACCUAACUUUAACUGUGAAGUGAACGUGGCUUAUACUUUGGAUGAAUGCUGAUUUAAGGGAAAACACAUCCAGCAGGAGUUUUUCCUCAAGAAAUUACAAGAUAGAUAUAGACUGUGGCUAUCAGCAUGUGUACACUGCUUCAAUGCCCGUGGUGAGAGCACACUGGAGUCAGAGGAAGUGGUGAUGUGUGAGCCUCAGAGUGGAUAAUAUAACAUUUACCAUAAUGGGCAUACUUACAUUUAUAUUUUGGACUAUUCGACAUUGCCUUCUUGAGCCUCCUUAUUUCAGCUGUUAACAAUGAUCCAUUGAGAAACUCCCUGAAUUCAGUAGGUCCUCAUUUGCAAAAGAAAGCAAUUUGCAGUAUGUUUGUUGCACUGUACUUUCCUGAGAGGGGGCAUAAUGCUUUGGAACAGACUUUGAAUUGGCAACAUAAAACUGAUUCCAUGCUUCCUAAACUGUCAUGCUUCAACCACAUUUGAAUUUCACAUAUGGAGGGCCAUCACUUUAAAUCUGCUUGGGAAAAUAAAAGUCGAAAGUUGAAAGCGCCCAUCCUUUUUUUGUGCACAGAAAAAUAGAAGAGCCUGAAUGGAUGUGUAAUAAAAGGAAAGAUGUCUGCAAAGAAUGAACACUGUGUACUAAUUCAGAAUUCUCAGCCUACUUUAAUGUCAUUUCAAUUCAAUUGUCCUCUCCAGAGAAAUGAAUUUCAUGAGAUAAUUGUUCCAUUCUACAAGAGCCUCCUGUCAAGGGACAUCUACAGUUAGCUAUUCACAUAAAUAAAUAUGUAUCACCACAACACAUACCAAAAUCAUAAAAAGUACAAAACCAAUAAAACAGUUCAAGCUUAAACUUUCCUUGAACUUCAGUGAUAUACAAGGUGUGAUCGCCCAAGGCCCCCAUCCCUUCUCCUGCCCAGCCAAAAGGCACACAAGAUGCCUUUAGCUAGUAAAUAAUAAACAGCACAAAUUGAGUGUGUUGCGGCAAUGAUUGCCACAGCAAGUGCAUUUAGAAUAAAAGCCCAUAAGCUUAGUGACCUGAAAACCUCCAUUUGGUGACAUCGUUUGUCACAUUGUGAUGAAUAAAAUAAAUGUCACUAAAAUAACCUUCCAGUUGCUUCUCUCUGGACUCUUACGUUUGCAUUUCUUCGUAAGCCUGUUGCAUAACAAUAACAAUUCUGUCUCACUGCACACUACAUAACCACAAAUCCCUGAAAUAUAUGGUAACCUGAAAUAUCUUAUGCAAAAUAUAUGACAAGGGCACAAGAAACUCUGACUCAGAAAUCCUCCAUUGUCUCUUCCUCUAGGUUUAUCUUCCAGAUGAAAGGAACUGAGAUAGUCACUGUGGACUCUGGAUACAUCUUAGAUGUGGCCAACAGAUGCAGAAGAAGGAAUUUGCUUUGUUUCAAAGUCUCUGUAAAAGCAAGAUUAAAUUCCCACUGUCUGUCCUAUAAAAUAUAUAUGUUGGUUUCAGGCUUCCCCAUCAACUGCAGGCCCUUGGUGGCCCUAAGAAGUGGGCGAAUGUGAAACCACUAUGAGGUGAGUAUCGAGGAAAACACCUUCACAGGCUGAAACUUGUAUUUGUAGCAGCUGAGCUUGCCAGCCACCAUUCAACUAAUAACAAGUGUACAGUUGCUCGUGGAAUUCAAUAAAACUGGG
rnacentral:lncRNA from 1 species